CUCGGGCGGGAGAGAGCUGGGCGGGUGCCCGGCUUCCUACCCCGGGAAGCCGGGGGCGUCGCCUUGCCCCGUUCCUCCCCGGGGCCCUGGGCUCCCGCAUCAUGGAGGGGCAGCGACCGUGGUCCCACCCGAAGUGACUUGGGACGACUCACCUGGCCAGCCCCCAACUGCAGGGGCCCUGGGCGUGAUUAGUUCAGCUAAUGCAGCUGGAGACUUUCAGGUCCCAGACAAACCCACUUUCCAGCCCAAGAGACCAGAUCAGCCGCUGGAGCCUGAGGCCAGGCCCCUGCUCUCACACUGGCUGUGGAAACUCACGAGUCACCAACUUCUUGGUACCUCCGUUUCCUCUUCAGCGAAAAGGAAUCAUGGAGUGGUUGGCGAGAUUACAUAAAUUAAUACCGUAAACCAGCGCCAGGCACAGGGUUGACCCAGGAGUCACUCGCUACUUGUUACUGUUUUGUGCCCCGAUGAAAAAGCGGCUUAUCGGCGGCAUGGCCUUGACACCAGACUUCUUGGCCUGACCAGCGGGUUCGUGCAUCCACAUGUCUUGCUUCAUCCCUGGGUUGAAAGCUCACAAUGUGGAGAUUGUCGCCCUGGACGCUCUGGUCUCAGCACCCCACAAAUGCUCGGAAUGCGAGUGUGUGCUUCGCUCUAAGACACACGCCUCCGUGAAGAUGAUGACAGAUGUGUGGUUCACAAAAACUUAUGAGAAACGGAAAUAACAUCCAGAGUCUGGAUGGCACCUUCUGGAGAGUGUCUCCCUCACUACUACCCAUCACUGAGACUCCUGUCAUCUGGAAGCCUGGACCGUUUGCCACGGCCAGACCACCUUUCUUAAAAGAGACCAUAUCCUCUGAGGAUUUUCAGUGUAUGCCCCUCCUAUCAAGCUGCUCAAACUGUGGGACCAUCUUUGAGAAGAGAUCUACUAAUGCACAAGGAAUAGAGUCCUGGAAACCACUCAUGUCAUAGCAAAGCCCUGUGUCCAGGAUGGUCUAUACCAAGGGACAUCUGUGACAGUGGAACUCCCUGGGCCUGAGGACACACUGUUUCACAAAUGGUUACACAACACUCCUAGAGUGUUCAGAGUCCCCAGACCCUCAAAGGGAGAUGCCAAGGGGUAAGAAGACGGAUACUGAGCGCCCCUUACAGCUGGGGACACCAGGGCAAGCGUGAUCCCAGCUGGGGUCUGUAAGCCCAGAGGAUGACCUAUGGACAGAACUCCAGUUAGUGUCCACCAGGACCAAGGGGGUUCAGAAAGGGAAGUUAUUCCAAACAGAGGAGGCUGACUCUCACACCAGUGGAGACUAAGCCACUCUGAACUGGCAAGCUUUUUAUUCUGGCACUCGAGACAGCAAUGAGGAUCCAUGAACAAAGUUGACUUCGGUUGUGGAAAAUAAAAUGACAUCUAUGCACA